UGGCUCAGAGGUUAAGAGCACUGGCUGCUCUUCCAGAGGUCCUGAGUUCGAUUCUCAG
rnacentral:tRNA from 1 species